GCCAGAUGCAAUCGUCCUGCAGUAGUUUUUGCACUAAAGAACAUAUCUCGCAGUAAUGCUUCCCUGGUUAAAAUCUGGGCUCCAUCCAAAGAAUUCUUGUAGAGGACAUUGGAAAGUUCAACAGCCUCAAGUCUCUUUGUUAUGUCCCUAACUUCAUCCCUUUCACAUUCUGAGUGUCUCUGUGAAGCUUCCAUUGCCUCUACUUCUGCUGUGUAAUCAUUUCCAGUAUUUAGAAUGCCAAUUAUACGCACUGCCUCCCGGAGCCCACUCAUCAUAGCACCACCAACAGUGUCAGGAUGCUCCUUGCAGGUAGCUUCACCAGCAAAAAAUAAACAGUUCUCAAUAGGCCUGCCCAAUAUAUCGUAGUCUUCCCCAGAUGAUCCAAUGGCAAC
rnacentral:misc_RNA from 1 species